UCGAAUCUAAAUACACCACAAAUCGUGAGACGAACCUACCAACAACCGUCUGGGACUAACCAACCCUUUCCCAUUCGCGUUCCCAACAGUGUUCAAAUUUAUAAAAAACUUAAGGAUUUGUAAAAUUGCCGGUUUUAUAUUUUUAUUGUGUCAAUUUGUGAAGAAAUAAUCUUCCAUAUAUGAUCCAGUCGUAAUAAUUAUGUCCUAUCACAAAAGUGAUUGCCUGAAUGUUUCAACCGAAUCUGACGAUAGUUCCGAGGAUGCCGAAGGUGCUAUUGCUGCAAUUCUGAAAAAACUUUCCGGAGACGAUUACAAUAUUUUGGACAGAAAUCCUUUUGAAAUGAGUGACACGUGCACUUGUGACUUCUGCAAGGAGUUAAGGUUACUAACAGCAGGAGAACGUGAAGAACUCAAAAUGAUGCAAACCUAUUGGACAGAGUUGAGGAAUUACAUUAGAAUCGUUUAUAGAAUUUCUAUAAAGGGCACUUUGAUGUCGAUUGAUGAGGAAUACACCAAUUCGAUCAAACUUGUCGCUUCGAGGCUUUGCGAUGUCUGCAAUCCGCUUCAAAUAUACGAAUGUCUGGAAAAUCAAGUUGGCGAAUUUGUUGUGGAAAUAAAAGUUAGGCUUCUUCAAUUAAUGGACCGUCUUGCAGGAAAUCCGCAACUUCCAAAAUUGUUUAUAUCAGGAAUGCUAGAUAGCUAUAACAAGAUGAUGAAUGCUGCCAAUAAGCUGACUCCGGUAUUAAGCCGAAUGGAAACGGAACAUUUAAGCAAAUUCAAAUUAACUUGGAAAAUUUUAAAUCAAAGGCUUUUUCAAACUAGUAUAUACACGGAUAUUUUUUUCCAAAAUAGUGUACCUCUUUUUAUUACACAGUUAGGAAAAAAAAACAACUCUGAAGAGAACAAAGUUCUCGUCAGGGAGUUUUUAAGUUUUGAUGACGAAAUAACCUUAGUUGAAGGAAUGUGGAGCGACGUUGAAGAACACUUAAAAUCUUUCAAGAAAGAUUCUUCCACUAAUUCUACCUUCCGAAAAUACCUUACACAAGACUGGGAGGAAUUCAAGGCAUUGAGGAGAAAUCAUUAUAAAUUGUGCAAUAAACAUUUAGCCAACCAGGAUUCGGAUGACAAUUCAUCCCUCAAUGAUUUUGACCUAACAAACUGGUGUGAGGAAGACGAAAAUGAUUUAAAUGAAACAUGCGAAUGCCAUGUAUGUCCCAAUGUUCCUACUAAUAAUGUCACCCUUAUUGACGAUGUACUGCCAUUAAAUCGAACAGGGUUUCAUUUAUGUCCCCAUAUUCACAUCCAUGAAAAAAACCAUACCAAAAUUGAAGGCGCCAAUGUUCCAAAAGACAGUAAACAGGUACUGAAAAUGAAGAUGAAGUCUUGGAAGGAAUCGUACAGCAGUAAAGCAGCUCGAAGUAGAAAAGGUGAAGGAGCAACACCCAUUGUAAAAGGCCAACACGACAAAUGUAUAGAAAAAGAGAAAAAAGAAGCAUCAACUGACACCACUGAAGUCCAGCAUAAUUUUUGUCCAAUACAUAAUGAUGUAAUGGAAUGGAUACCUUGUGGUGAAAAUGAUAUCUGUACUUGUGAUGGCACCGAAGAAUUCAAUUCUGAUACGUCAGAUACUGAUUCAAGGCACUGUGACUGUUAUUACUGUGAGGUAUUCGGUCAUGGGCUGCCUGCAACAGCACCAAUGAGUCGAAACUAUAAAGAGAUGAGAGAGAGAUUAAGACUUCUGUUGAAUAAAAAAAAAUCGAAGUGUAGAAGUACAACUGUUCCAACGCUCGCAAAUAACACAAUGCCUCAAGCACAACCCAAGAGACAUCAGAAUGGAGGUCCACCAAGUCAAGAGAAACCACAAAAACUGCAGAAAUCAGACAAAAGUACAGCCACACCAAUAAAAGCACCACCGCCUCCUGUUGUUGAACAUGAUCCACGAGAUUUGGAAGAUCUUCUGGAUUUUAUAGAAGGGACAGAAGUAAAAUGUCGGAAUGAAAAAAAGGCAGCUAAAAAAGCUAGGCAAAAAGAAAAAAAGAAGAUUUUAAUGAUAAGAAAGAAAAAGGAAGAAGAAGAAAAGGCUCGAUUGAUCCAAGAAGCGAUUGAGAAAAAACAAAGAGAGGAAGAAAUGCUGAGGCUUGCAAAAGUAAAAGAACAAGAAAACGCCUCCAAGUCGAAGAAAAAAUCGAAGAAUCGAUCUCAAAUGUCACAAAAGGAAGACAAUGUUCAGCACAACAAACCUAGCGAAAAUCCCGGUACUCAAAUGGUCACUAUCAAGAGGAUAAUGGAACCGCACAGUUCUGAACCAACUGUUACAAUAACAUUAAGAGGUGCAACACCGAAGCAAGACAAAGUUUUAUACACGUUAUUAAAUGGCCAAGUGUGCAAAGUCAAAGAUGUUCCUGUGGAAAGUCAACACUCAAACUCCAAGCAUGUUAGUACAAAAAAAUUUAACAACUCUAGUGAGCUGACAGCUACAAAAUCAAAUAAAAAGGUGAAACAGAAAAAGGAGCAGCAGCAGAAGGUAGAGCCAACACCAUCAGCACCAGCCAAACAAAAGCCAGUGAAACAGCUUACAAACCCUACGUCAAUUCAAAUAAAUAAUGCUAUUAACACUAUGUCAAAACAUCCGACAACACAUUUUAACAUAAACGAUUUAAAACUCCCCCCUGGAAUCACUAUAACUAAAGUUGAUUCUUCAGAAUCACCUUUUAACAAAAAAGUUAAGGAAAGUACAAAUACAAAAGUGAGCAGCACGCCAAUGAAAUCAGCUGCUUCUUCAGAGGUGAUUGUUGUUGCUACAAACAAAUUAAAAGAAUUAGCUCCAUCAAAUGGUGCGUUGAAAACUUGCGAUUCACACGGUAAUAGUAACAAUAACAACAACAGUGCCAAUAAUAACAAUAAUAAAAAAAAGAAACAAAAAAAGAAAGAUCAGGAACAAAGAAUAAAGUGUGAAGAGAAAAAUCCUUAUCCAGGAUUGGACAUUGAUCCUAUACCCAUGGCUUCACAAAAUGAUCUCGUCCGCCAAAUGUCAGUGCUGACAAUAAAUCCUUAUGCCGGAAGUAAAGAAGUUACAGAAAUAAAACUUGAUGCCAGUAAAAAGAAGAAAAAGAAGUCAAAGAAGGGAAACGAACCAAUUAAUAAUCCAGAUGACUGGAAAAUGUUAGGUCAGCCUCAAGUAAAAGUUAUAUGUCUUGGAAGCAAAAGUUGUUUUCAGACAAGUGUUGGUGAUCCUAUUUUGAAAACCCUCAUAUCCUCUUGAAGAGGAUAUUGCUACAGGAUCGGCCAGCAACACAUUUUGCAUGUUUCUGAUGAAAUCUUUGUUUGGUGGUAUGCUUUUAACAAUCAAAAUACAAGAUAGAAGCAAAACUGAUCAUGAUAGUGUUUUUGCACCUAAAGAUAUAGAUCUUAAUGACGGUGAGAUUGAUGAUGCCGAAAGGGAGCUAGAAGCCUUUAAAAGAUUUUG
rnacentral:misc_RNA from 1 species